GUGAUGAGUGCAAAGGAAGCCUGGAUUGAAGUUCCUCACUGUGACUCCCUGUGGUCGUAGAGUGACUUUUCUCUGUUUUGACCCCAAGACUCAUUCACAGGAGCUAUGGAGAAUCCUGCUGCAUCUCAGGAAGAGCAGUUGGGCGUCACCUCACCUAUGCAGUCUUUCCAAUCCUUGCAGACCUGGUUAGAUGGCCCUUUUCUGUUUUCCUACAGCACCCUGCCUCACCCCAUUUACCACAGAAUAACAUUGACAUCCACAAAUCAGAUGGAAGUGCCAGUAAUCUUCAAAAUGAAAGAAUGGAGCAUUCUCCAGAAUGUUUCCUCAGUGGAAAGGCUGUGAACUCGACUGGACUGGGAAAUUACCUACCUUAGAGAAUGCAGAGCACCAGAAGCCUGGAGACCUGGCCAAGAGUUUCCAUGGUUGGGAAAGUCAGCUUGCCUGUCCAUGUCUUGGG
rnacentral:lncRNA from 1 species